AGCAGCUGAAAACUGGUGGUUAGCCCAGGCCAUCAGCUGGACUUUGGAAAUCUGCCAACACUGAGGACCCUGCAGUUCCAAACCACCCAGAAAAGAAGCCUAUAGAUAUGUGUCUCCUCAGCACCUCUACCUUUUCCAGAGACAGCAAACUACUACUUUUGGAGAGCUGACCGUUGCCCAUUCAACCAUGUUAUACCAGGUAUUGUUGCUGUAGAGAAGAAAAAAUCUCUACUGCUGGAUUUAAAGGAAGAAACCAAAA